rnacentral:lncRNA from 1 species
GGACAGCGCACUGUCAGCCCUGGCUUCCCUUCAAGGUCCUCAGGGCACAAGCUCCCAGCAGCCUCCAUCACCACCUGUUCCUGCAUCUCACCAGGGAAAGGCAGGAGCUAAAUCUCCAUGGAUUUGGCCGUCUGGGGCACAGAAAUGCCACCUGGGUCAAAUGCCUGCUCCUUUCCUCCAGCUGGAAGGCUCAACUCCCUUCCCGGAACUCCUGGAGCCUUUUCUCUGUGUCCCUGCCUCUACGACACAUGAAGCUGCCAACCUUGUGACUGGGUGGCUUGUUUUCUCCUGGGAGAACUUAUCAUUGGAGGCUCUGAUUUCAUCUUAUUUCCCAGUCAUAGGUGAACAUGUUGGGAUCCACGAGUUUUACUCCAUGGUUUUUCUAGUGGUGGAUGGUGUCUUUAUGUAAUGGAAAUGGGCUCACCUGACUAUGUCACCAUUACUGAACUCUCAUCAAACAAGAAUUUAUAGAAGUCGACUACAUGUUAUUCAGACUCCACCCGAAGUGCAGCAAAAAGGCGAUUCAACCAAAGAAAUACCUCAGCUUCUGCAUGUCACGUGUGCACACCUUUUUAGACCUCCAUUUUUUAGACCUCCAUUUUGUCUGCUCCCUCAUCGGAUCUGGGAGAAGGGAAGCUUGGAGUGGUAGUUGCUAUUCCUCUGAACCUCAGUUGUCUUUCUUUGAAGCAGGACUAAAUGUGCGAAGCAGGUUUUAUAUUUAAGUUCUGUCCUUUGUCCUGCAAAACUCACACACAUGAUAUCUGCCAAGUUAGAGUUCUGCAGAAAAUUAUACUUUGAAGAAAUUAAACAGAGGCACUCACCUAUGUGGGCACUGCAGGGGAGAGGACAAUCCCAAGCCAAUGCCACAGAGCAUGGCUUUGGCUCCUAUUUUCUUCACCUUUCCCCCUCCUUCUUCAAUCCAGUCUGUUAACAAACCCACUCCCCACUCAGCUGUGUCUUUGCUAGUUCUUCACCACUGUAGUCCAAUACCUGGAACAAAACAAUUCUUGGCCCAUUUUUUAUUGAAUAAAGUGUUUAAUUUGCUUUCCUCUUACCUCUUA